rnacentral:rRNA from 1 species
AACGAACGCUGGCGGCAGGCCUAACACAUGCAAGUCGAGCGAGGACUUCGGUUCUAGCGGCGGACGGGUGAGUAACGCGUGGGAAUGUGCCCUUCUCUACGGAAUAGCCCUGGGAAACUGGGAGUAAUACCGUAUACGCCCUUUUGGGGAAAGAUUUAUCGGAGAAGGAUCAGCCCGCGUUGGAUUAGGUAGUUGGUGGGGUAAUGGCCUACCAAGCCGACUAUCCAUAGCUGGUUUGAGAGGAUGAUCAGCCACACUGGGACUGAGACACGGCCCAGACUCCUACGGGAGGCAGCAGUGGGGAAUCUUAGACAAUGGGGGCAACCCUGAUCUAGCCAUGCCGCGUGAGUGAUGAAGGCCUUAGGGUUGUAAAGCUCUUUCAGCUGGGAAGAUAAUGACGGUACCAGCAGAAGAAGCCCCGGCUAACUCCGUG